AAAGCUCCCCUCAGCACUUGAUAAUAGACUGGGGCGGGGAGAGGGGGUCACUGAACUCCUUUAUCUGUCCCUCUUCCCAGUGUGGCCAUACUGAAUAAUCCUCCUCCCUUUCCUUUUGACCAUCACUCCUCUCUUUAAUUGGCUUCCUGGAGAGGGGUGGCUGGGACUAGCCUAUUGAGGCUGCAAAGCCCUGGCUUUUGCCUUAACAUCUUUGGUUACAGCUUUACAACUUUAGCAAGCCAAGCAGGAGGAGAGAGAUCUUUUAUUCAUCAGCCACUUGCAGCAAGUCAAUUCCAGAGAAGAAAGAUUGAAUGUUCCCAUACAGCUUCUGGAAUUUCUCUUAUUCUUGGGACUUUUUCUUAUCACUCUGGCUAGAAAUGGCUGCUUUCUGCCUCUAGUUAAUGAAGCAUUUGGACUCCUUGGGCCAUAAGGUCUGACCUUUGAUGAGCCUGCGGAGGGACGGAGAUGAGCAGGAAGCAGAAAAGGGCCAUUCCCUGGAAACCAAGGAAAGACUUUAAAAGCAGAAGCCUUGAGCACCUCACCCGGGGCUCACAGAAGCCAAAAGGCUGGAGCUGAGAUCAUCUGCUCGCUAAGUCUGGGGCUUGGCCUAAGAAGUCUCAAAUGAUGCAAAGGAAAUCACUGCAAACAAAAGUUCCCCUUUGCAUUAAAAACAAAAAUGAUGCUGGACCCUUCCCAUGUCACAUAGCAAGGCAAUGUUACAGUCCCAUUCUGUGAUCCGAAGCAGCACUGGUAUUCUCAAACCAAAUCACCAAAUGCUUCAGUGGUCACAGGCCACUCUUGUGCACCCUGGGACAGUUCAGCUGUUCACCUGGUUACACUGCCCCACAGCAAAAGUUCUGAGUGAGUAAACCAAAAAUCUGGACUAACUAGGUCAAGUGACACCCCAGGCCUUACAGCUGCCAAAGCCGGACCGUGGGCCUAUCUGUCAGAGAUUUCGCAACCUGUUCUCCUUUUCUAAAUGGACAGGGCGCAUGGAGGACGAAAUCAUGCAAACAGAGCCCAGUGUGAGCAAUGGUAAAGCCUUGAAACAACACUGAUCUGGAGAACUGCAACCUUCCCUCUGACCUUGUUCUCACGCAGCACUGUUUUUUCAUUUUAUGUGACAAUAAGGUAGAUAAAGAAUUCCACCUAAAUAGUCAAGACAGUGUAGACUUGGUUAUCAUAUUCAUUGUCGGUUUUUGUUAAAAUGAUACCUGGGGGCAGGAGAGACAGCUCAGUAGAUAAAUCACUUGUGAUGCAAGCAUGAAAACUAGAGUUCAGAUCCCCAGGCCCCACAUAAAAGACUGGCUGCUGCUGUAAUCCCAGCACUCAGGAGGCAGGGACAAAGGAUCCCCAGAAGCUGGCAACUGCACGAGCUGGAAUUUGUCUGGGAACACUGGGUUCAGCGAGAGACCUGCUCAAUAUGUGUGGUGGACAGCAAUUGAGGAAAACACCUAAUGUCAACUUCAGGCCUCUACAUGCAUGAAUGCAAAGGUGAGCACGCGUGCACGCGCGCACACACACACACACACCACAGCGCAGAAGCUCUAGGUCCAUCCGCUUCUCUAGUCCUUCAUUUCUUAUAUAUAAAGACCUCUGAGUACACAUAAAA